rnacentral:ncRNA from 2 species
AUCAAUAUAUGUAUUGCAGGUGUGCGUACAGCACUUAAUAGGGAACCGGGUGAAAAUCCCGGACGGUCACGCCGCUGUGAGGAUGAGGGUGCAUUCACAAUGCCACUGUCGAAAGAUGGGAAGGCGAAUGCAUCCGAUGAUUCCAAGUCAGAAGACCUGCCUGUAAUAGGUGUGACGG